AGAACCAUGAAAACUAUGAGAUGAACCUAGCGCUAUCUAAAUUUUUUAUUCUAAUCAACACUUUAAAAAAGUGCAAAUCAUGCAACUGAACACUAACAAGAGAUUAAGAGUAUCCCUCCAACACGACACCGUUCAGAAAAUCUUCUAAUGUACUCCUAUCUCAUUUUAUGAUGUGGCACAUCAUGAUCCUUUAUUUAGAUGCAUGGUGUGGAUUUGGCUGUUGUUUGUGAAUAUUACUUAUAGACUUUGAAUCCAGCAGAAGCAAAAACCAAACCAGAAUAGCAUCCUCAAUCUCUGACUGAUACCAUCUCCACAAAUAUUUAUUUACUUCCCUCAACUUCUUCCCAUAAGUGAUGGAAGCACUGCCAGCUCCAGGCCCACAAGGUGAAGAAAAGCCUGAUGGACCACUAGGGUCAUGGUUAUGGUUUCUCUGCUGCUGUGGUUUCUUUACUAGCUGCUGUCCGUUUUGGGUUCAACCAGGACCACCACCUCCAUUGUGAGACAUUUUCUUGAUUACGUAUUACUCUCCCUUUCCUUCUCCGGUUCUUCAUUUGCAAUUCAACUCUUUGUUCGUUGAGAAAAGAUGCAAAGAGACAAGGACCAUGAUUAAGUACAAAAAACAUUUGUUGCUUCAGUUCAAGGGUAGCAAGGCCCUUAAUUCAGUGCAAGGUUGGCUCGGGCGACUCUAGCUUUCUUUGGUAUGAUUUAUGGCAUCCUGGAUGCCUAUUUUAUGUUAAAUUGAUCGGUGGGGAUUUGUAGGCAUCUAGGGUUUUACCCCCUCAAAGAUGGUCCCACUGACCCAUACCUUGAGGAGGUUCCUCGUCAUCAAAAAAUAAGAAAUAAAAAUUAUUCAACAUGGUCUGAAAGUGAAAGGUAAGCUGGGUGAUGUGAAUGACCCAGUUUGGUUUCCUUGAAUACUCUUGCAAGGAGAUAUGGGUGAUGAUUAGAGGCAGGCUGUGUGGUCAAAAAGAGCUGUCCCUAAAUUUUUCAUAAGAUAGGCUAUUUUAGGGGCUUUACUGGUGAUCCCGUUUGUUAUUUUUUGCAAGAGUGUAAUUGAAGAGACUGUGUAUGUUUGAUAUCUCUAUUAGGAGAUGGGAUGAGAUCUUAGAAUGGAUGGGGGAUUUAAAGGUGACUUUUUGUAGAUUGGCUAGGAGUGCCUCGGUUUAUCAUGUUUGAGAGGAAUGCUCGUGCUUCUAUUAAGGGUGCUAAAAGGGGGGAAGAGUUGAUUCAUCAGAUUAAAGACGUGGGGAAUCGAUUGACUGAUUGUAAGGUUCUUCAUUCUGCUGUUAACAGUAUUCUUUGCUGCAUAUGGAGGCUGUGUCUCAGUCCAUAAGGGAGUUAGAUAAGGAUACGUUUUGUAUUUGAUCUAUGUUCUUCUGCCCUGUUGUGUUACCGUUCUUUUUGUUUAGCGUGAUAUAGUUGAAUUGGUGUUUUGAGUAGCUGCCUUCUCUUGUAUAACCUGCUUGCAGGUCCCCUUUGGUUUAAAUACAAUUCUUAGAGCAUCCGCAUUAGCGGAUGUAAAACUUUGCAAAA